rnacentral:misc_RNA from 1 species
UUGAAUUUUAAUGAAGAGUUUGGUUGUAGCUGGCCCAUUCAUUUGGGCAUGUGCACACCUUCCUCUUUCAUCCCACCCACACCUGUGAACCUGUGAGACAGAGAUGGGGAAUUUACUUGCUGCUUUUUGGAAUACAAAGGCAAUAGGUUAUUGGACCCCCCCUCUGUCUACUCAAUUAAUAUAAACUCAAUUUAUUUUAAAACGAAUGUAAUGGAUGUAACACAUCUCAUAC